UGCAACGGUGAUGAGCCUUUUUACAGACACAGACCUGUAAUGAUUUGCGGUAAUGAUCGCAAUUUUAAGAACAUCUAAGGGACUGAGUUUCA